UAGGAAAUUUACAAUUGCAAGGAUCUACUUAAUUCCUUGUUUAUAUAUUUGGAAUACUUUGGGAGUCGGAGCCUUUAUCACCUGGCUCCAGUUAGAGAAAAAAAAAAUAUCAAAAGAAAGAGAAAUCUCUAUGGUUGAAGAACCGAGUGCCAACAUUCCAAACCACAACCCCCUAAUCCUGCUGUGACUUGUAGAUGCAGAACCCAUGAAUGAAGGCUCCGAGUCCGAUAGCAGGCUCUCUUGCAAACCCCACCCCGAAAGCUAACCACUCAGUCGUCAUCGCAGAUAAGGCUAGUAGAAAGACUUACUUUAACAAGUCGUUGUGGCCUGGGUAAUGGGAGAGCCUUAUGUUCUGGUGCAGAUGCUGUUACCCUUUAUCAACUAGUCAAUCAAGGGAAUGUUGAGGAAUGCAGAAAGUUUUACUAGACAUUGUAUAAGUUUGUAUAUAUUCAAGGAAUAUACUUGAAGCCACAUGAGAGUAUCAGAUAAGAGCUUCUUUUGAAAUUUAUCAUAUGGAACAGUUGGACAUUAUAAUGUUCAUGACAUUGUUGUUCUUUGUACCUAACUGCUAGAUUACUUCUACCAGUUUACUUAAUACUAGUUUAGCAGUAUAUAUGUGGGAUCAUGUGAUUUUCUUUCACAAACAGUAGUAUGUUUUGAUCUGUAGCAUACUAGUAUGUUUGGGUCUUAAAAGGUAUAUUUGUUUCUUCUAAUUUCUGUUUGCUAGAAAUUGUCAAUUCGAUUAUAAAGUUUGGUUAUAUAAAAUUUUGAAUUCAGUGGUGACAAAGUUAAGAAUAGUUUAGUAAUGUGUGAGAUCUCUUCAUUUAAGAAACCCCUGAUAAUCUUAUAAGCUAGUGUAACUUAAAGUGCAUGUUUCGCUUAGUUCUUGUGGCAAGACAGAGGAUAUAUGCUUUAGCCUAAGUGCGCACAUACUUGGUUUGAAAAUUGUUUAGGCAAUCUUUGAAAUCUGCCACAUAAGAAACCUCUGUCCAGUUGUUAUUUAAAGUGUUGAUUCAUCUAGUACUACAUUUUCAAUGGUAUUAAGAAUGCUCUUCUUUCACUUAAAGCUAUAAUUGGUUGUAUCAUAUCUAUUAAUGUUUUUGCUUUAUAUGUUUGUUUCUGUUCCAGGUAGAGAUCCUUAUGAAAAAAGUUAAGGAAUGUAGAACUGAAAUGACUAACAUUAAGAUCCUUUAGAACAUAGACAAAGUAAGGUGAAUAUUUUUAAAAUAUUGGUAACUAUUAAAUUGAAAACUUCUCUGACAGUUAAUAUAUAUGUAUUGGUUUGAUUUUUAUUUCUUGCUUUCUUUAGCAUGAGGUUAGAGCAUAUCCAAGAAAAUCAAGCUUAUAAAAUGCAUAUAAGAAUUUUAAGUCCAGGGUGAAGCAUACAAGAAUUUUGAUGAUUAAGUGCACUGUAAAUUUUUUACAGCACUUUAGCAUUGGUUUCAAGUAUUGAAGUUCACUAACUUCUAGUGUUAGGCUCAGCUUGUGUAUUUAUGACCGCAUAUAUGGGUCUUGGAUAUCUUUCUUGAUUGAAUUACUUGAUUCACUUUAAUCUUUCACUAUAAUCUUUGAACAAUUUCUUGCUGCAGGACAGUGACUAAGAAAUUGAGGCAGAGGAUAUGGAACCUGACAAGUACAUUUGAUUGACUGGUAUAUGAUUUUCUUUUUGCAUAAAGACUACAAUAAUUUGGCGCAACUAUUCGUGGUUUCAUGCAAGAUUUGAUGACCGAACCUUUCAAGAAUUAUAGAAAACCCAAAGCCGAUAUAUAGAUUUAUUCAUAUUUGCAUACACCUGGACUGAUGAGUUAUGUUCUUUGCCAAACCAUCGCAUCUCUAUUAUCUUAUUUUGUUGAUCUUAGUUCACAGUCUAACAUGUUUGACUGAAAUUUGAUUUCAUUGGAGGGGUCAUUUGGAAAAUGAACGGAAUAUGGAAACUAGGAAUUGUUCCAAGGCAUAUUACCUAGAAGUUACAGUACUGCUUUUGAAGGUUUUUUUUUUCCUCAGUUGGCUUUGGGCUUACAGUGCUCAACCCUUUGCAUGAUGGACAAGUUACCUUACCUCAGGUAACCAGCAAGAGUGGAGCUGCUCCAGCUAGAAGCGUAUUGUAGUUGUAAACUUGUAAAUAGGAAGCUUUGAGAUUAUCUCAAAGUCUUUGACGUAGGUCUUUGUGAACAUUUGAGUUAUUAAUCCUUGUGGAAUUUUCCAUAUGUAAUUAUUACUUUAUUUAUAAAUAAAAGUAAUUCAUUUAUUCAAA